rnacentral:rRNA from 1 species
UACGUAGGGUGCGAGCGCUGUCCGGAAUUAUUGGGCGUAAAGAGCUUGUAGGCGGUUUGUCGCGUCUGCCGUGAAAAUCCGGGGCUCAACCCCGGACUUGCGGUGGGUACGGGCAGACUAGAGUGUGGUAGGGGAGACUGGAAUUCCUGGUGUAGCGGUGAAAUGCGCAGAUAUCAGGAGGAACACCGAUGGCGAAGGCAGGUCUCUGGGCCACUACUGACGCUGAGAAGCGAAAGCGUGGGGAGCGAACAGG